UCAGGAGGUUAACUCGGAAGGUAAGCAAGUCGGGGCCUGGUCAGUACUUGGAUGGGAGACCACUGGGAAUAACAGGUCCCAAAGUGAA
rnacentral:rRNA from 1 species